rnacentral:rRNA from 1 species
AGCUACAGGCUUAACACAUGCAAGUCGAGGGGUAGCAGGGUCGCAAUACCGCUGACGACCGGCGCACGGGUGAGUAACACGUAUCCAACCUUCCCAUAACUCAGGGAUAGCCUUUCGAAAGAAAGAUUAAUACCUGAUAGUACUUAAGAAAGGCAUCUUUUUUAAGUUAAAGAUUUAUUGGUUAUGGAUGGGGAUGCGUUCCAUUAGAUAGUUGGUGAGGUAACGGCUCACCAAGUCUUCGAUGGAUAGGGGUUCUGAGAGGAAGGUCCCCCACAUUGGUACUGAGACACGGACCAAACUCCUACGGGAGGCAGCAGUGAGGAAUAUUGGUCAAUGGGCGAGAGCCUGAACCAGCCAAGUAGCGUGAAGGAUGACGG